rnacentral:rRNA from 1 species
CUUGACAUGUACGGAACCCUGGUGAGAGCCAGGGGUGCUCGAAAGAGAGCCGUAACACAGGUGCUGCAUGGCUGUCGUCAGCUCGUGUCGUGAGAUGUUGGGUUAAGUCCCGCAACGAGCGCAACCCUUGUCAUUAGUUGCUACGAAAGGGCACUCUAAUGAGACUGCCGGUGACAAACCGGAGGAAGGUGGGGAUGACGUCAAGUCCUCAUGGCCCUUAUGGGUAG